rnacentral:misc_RNA from 1 species
AAGUCGUAACAAGGUUUCCGUAGGUGAACCUGCGGAAGGAUCAUUAAAAAAAGGGUCGCAAGACCUAUUUUUAAACACUAUCGCCGCCUAUCAUCUAUGGGUAGGAUACUCUUGUCUAUGGGUGAGAUGGAGGAGGUAGGGUUUUUUAAAAUCCAAUUAUUAUUAUAAAAUAUAUCGUCUAAUGACAACCAAAAAAAUUUAUUAAAACUUUCAACAAUGGAUCUCUUGGCUCUC